AGUCUCAGAAGUUGUGGGUCCUGUGUUGUCCGUACAGCUUCGCCACCCUGUCCCAGCACGUGGGAGUUGCAGGCACCCCCACCUCACCCCACCAUUGCUCAUGCAGCCUGGACUCUGAUUCCACACCACACAGGGUCCCGAUCCCUCGUGGUCUGUCCUGGCGCUCACGCGGUCCCCUGGGUGACACGAGAUCCCUGGCGAGCCACACGGAAGGCUGUGACACCAGACAGGCCACGGAAGUGUGGCUGGGAGGGGCGGGCCGGGCACUCACCAGCCACACGGAAGGCUGUGACACCAGACAGGCCACGGAAGUGUGGCUGGGAGGGGCGGGCCGGGCACUCACCGUGGCUUUGAGGUGGACGGUGCCCUUGUCAAAGGCCACAGAGGAGGAGCUCAGGCCCACAGGGCGCACGGCGAUACUCCGGGGAAACAGGAAGAAGGCGGUGAAGCCGGUGGUGGCCAGGCACUCGAGCACCGCCAGGGACACGAAGAGCUUCCUGCAGGGCGGCGCCAGGGAGCCAUGAGGGGCCUGAGCGCUGGGAAACCUGUGGCGGAGGACACAGGCUCUGCCCGCUGCCCCCCAGCCCGAGCAGCUGCUUCCUGCCCAGCCGAUGCCGGUGCCGCCUCACACUUGGGAUGGGGCACCAUCCGCGCAUCCAACUCGGAGCAGAUGCGAGGAGGGACAGGGACAGGACUUAGCGGUGCCAGCUUCCAAUUCCGGUGCAGUGCCGGGUAGGAGGGACGAUGGCUCCAAGCCAAAGCUAG
rnacentral:lncRNA from 1 species